rnacentral:rRNA from 1 species
UACGUAGGGAGCAAGCGUUGUCCGGAAUCAUUGGGCGUAAAGAGCGCGUAGGCGGUCCGGUAAGUCGGUUGUGAAAACUGGGGGCUCAACCCUCAGAGGCUGACCGAUACUGCCGGGCUAGAGUCCGGAAGAGGCGAGUGGAAUUCCUGGUGUAGCGGUGAAAUGCGCAGAUAUCAGGAGGAACACCAAUGGCGAAGGCAGCUCGCUGGGACGGUACUGACGCUGAGGCGCGAAAGCGUGGGGAGCAAACAGG